rnacentral:rRNA from 1 species
UCCUAUACUGCAAGUCGAACGCACUCUCGUUUAGAUUGAAGGAGCUUGCUCCUGAUUGAUAAACAUUUGAGUGAGUGGCGGACGGGUGAGUAACACGUGGGUAACCUGCCCUAAAGUGGGGGAUAACAUUUGGAAACAGAUGCUAAUACCGCAUAAAACCUAACACCGCAUGGUGUAGGGUUGAAAGAUGGUUUCGGCUAUCACUUUAGGAUGGACCCGCGGUGCAUUAGUUAGUUGGUGAGGUAAAGGCUCACCAAGACCGUGAUGCAUAGCCGACCUGAGAGGGUAAUCGGCCACACUGGGACUGAGACACGGCCCAGACUCCUACGGGAGGCAGCAGUAGGGAAUCUUCCACAAUGGACGAAAGUCUGAUGGAGCAACGCCGCGUGAGUGAAGAAGGUUUUCGGAUCGUAAAACUCUGUUGUUGGAGAAGAAUGUAUCUGAUAGUAACUGAUCAGGUAGUGACGGUAUCCAACCAGAAAGCCACGGCUAACUACGUGCCAGCAGCCGCGGUAAUACGUAGGUGGCAAGCGUUGUCCGGAUUUAUUGGGCGUAAAGCGAGCGCAGGCGGUUUCUUAAGUCUGAUGUGAAAGCCUUCGGCUCAACCGAAGAAGUGCAUCGGAAACUGGGAAACUUGAGUGCAGAAGAGGACAGUGGAACUCCAUGUGUAGCGGUGAAAUGCGUAGAUAUAUGGAAGAACACCAGUGGCGAAGGCGGCUGUCUGGUCUGUAACUGACGCUGAGGCUCGAAAGCAUGGGUAGCAAACAGGAUUAGAUACCCUGGUAGUCCAUGCCGUAAACGAUGAGUGCUAGGUGUUGGAAGGGUUUCCGCCCUUCAGUGCCGCAGCUAACGCAUUAAGCACUCCGCCUGGGGAGUACGACCGCAAGGUUGAAACUCAAAGGAAUUGACGGGGGCCCGCACAAGCGGUGGAGCAUGUGGUUUAAUUCGAAGCAACGCGAAGAACCUUACCAGGUCUUGACAUCCUUUGACCACUCUAGAGAUAGAGCUUUCCCUUCGGGGACAAAGUGACAGGUGGUGCAUGGUUGUCGUCAGCUCCGGUCCGGGAAUGUUGGGUUAAGUCCCGCAACGAGGC